rnacentral:tRNA from 1 species
UCCCAGAUGGCUCAGUGGUAAAGAGUCUGCCUGUAGUGCAGAAGACUCAGGUUCAGUUCCUGGGUCAGGAA